rnacentral:rRNA from 1 species
GACGAACGCUGGCGGCGUGCUUAACACAUGCAAGUCGAACGGAAAGGCCCUGCUUUUGUGGGGUGCUCGAGUGGCGAACGGGUGAGUAACACGUGAGUAACCUGCCCUUGACUUUGGUAUAACUUCAGGAAACUGGGGCUAAUACCGGAUAGGAGCUCCUGCUGCAUGGUGGGGGUUGGAAAGUUUCGGCGGUUGGGGAUGGACUCGCGGCUUAUCAGCUUGUUGGUGGGGUAGUGGCUUACCAAGGCUUUGACGGGUAGCCGGCCUGAGAGGGUGACCGGGCACAUUGGGACUGAGGUACGGACCAGACUCCUACGGGAGGCAGCAGUGGGAAAUAUUGCACAAUGAGAGGAAGUCUGAUGCAGCAACGCCGCGUGCGGGAUGACGGCCUGCGGGUUGUAAACCGCUUUCGCCUGUGACGAAGCGGGAGUGACGGUAAUGGGUAAAGAAGCACCGGCUAACUACGUG